rnacentral:rRNA from 1 species
UACACUCCUGCGGGAGGCAGCAGUGAGGAAUAUUGGACAAUGGGUGGAAGCCUGAUCCAGCCAUCCCGCGUGCAGGAAGACGGCCCUAUGGGUUGUAAACUGCUUUUAUCUGGGGAUAAACCUACUUACGUGUAAGUAGCUGAAGGUACCAGAAGAAUAAGCACCGGCUAACUCCGUGCCAGCAGCCGCGGUAAUACGGAGGGUGCAAGCGUUAUCCGGAUUUAUUGGGUUUAAAGGGUCCGUAGGCGGACUGAUAAGUCAGUGGUGAAAUCCGACAGCUUAACUGUCGAACUGCCAUUGAUACUGUUAGUCUUGAGUAAGGUUGAAGUGGCUGGAAUAAGUAGUGUAGUGGUGAAAUGCAUAGAUAUUACUUAGAACACCAAUUGCGAAGGCAGGUCACUAAGUCUUAACUGACGCUGAUGGACGAAAGCGUGGGGAGCGAACAGGAUUAGAAACCCCGGUAGUCCCAUG